ensembl:lncRNA
UUCCCCAGCCUUGUAGCACCAGCAUAGAGCCACUGCUGCAUCUGACAACUGCUUCCUCCACUCACCUUUUUGUCAACGGGGACGGGGGCUUCAGCCUGUCUUUGUCCAGCACAUUUCUAAGAUGUCAGCUGCAUUGCUGUGAAGGGGAAAAAAUGAUUCUAACAACCAGUUUAUCAUGAGUGAUGGAACAGUGGCACUCUAGAGAGUCAACGUUUGCAAGCUCGGGAUCAUGCAACAGAGGGAUGUGGACUUUUAAAAUGGAAACAAUUGUCAAAGUGUGCGAUGUUCUUGUGAGCCAUGCUGUGUGGUCAGUUCUCAGGUGUAGAGAGGAACUGCUGGGGAAGGAAGGAGGGACCUGUACGGUGACCGCCUUCAGAAAGUGGCAAUCUGAUUCAUGGCCAUAUCUAAGAAAAACCCAUGUGAAGUGAGAAAAAAAUUGCAACCAGUAACAAAGGAAGUAUCCCAGAGAUGGGUUCAUGGAGGCCCAGGCAUGGACCCGCAUGGGAAGGUCAAGACUGGAAAGGAAAACAGAGAGUUGAUAGUUUUUAAUCAUCCAUGAUAAGGCAGGUCAUCUGCAGAACUGCAACAACUUCCUUUAACUCAAUAAUGGCGGGAUUCAUUUGAAACAACCUCUGAG